UUUAAGAGUUUUUGGGCCAUGAAAAAAAAGUACUUUAAUUUGAAUCAGCUAUCAGCUGAUUCUACGGCUUCAAUCAGCUUCUACGGCUGCUCCCACAUAGUGCGCAAAAUGUAGGUUGCACUGUCUAUGCGGUAUAGUGGAAACGAUAAUAACCCGACACGAGUUAUUUUCUGCCAAUAAAAACUCGGAAACAUCAUUUUGGUUCAUGUUGAUAUGACCACAAUCUGAUUCCCAAGCACUAAUGUACCGUGAGAUAUCAUUAGGGGUGCCACGGGGAAUCCAAUCAAAUAUAGAACAUAUCUUUUUUUUUUCUCCCCGCAAUAAAUAACGUACCUUUUUCCACUCAUCCAUUACAGCGAGUUUUGUCGCAACAGUUAGGGAGCCCGCUUAUGGAUUGUGUUUAAGUUUCGGGUGAAGGUUAAGGCGAGGGUUGCGUUUCAAAUUCUCAUUUUUGGGACACACUCAAUGAAAUAAUAAGAAUUAAAAUAAUUUAAAAAAAAUUUUAAGAGUUACAAAAAAAACAAAAAUGACCACUGCAAAACAACCCAAUCGCGACAAGGAAUGAGUGUGAGAUUCGCGCCGUCCAAUUUCCAUCAUAAUUUAUGGAGCAAGAAAGUAACUGCGGGUCAUUUUAUUCAUUUACAUUUGUUAUAAUUUUGCACGUGUCUUUUUUAAUAGUUCUUGAACAGCUGGCUGGGAAUACUAAAUAAGGAUCCUUUCGAAAACGGCGGAUCAUUGUGAACGCGGUUUGAAUGUUAAAAAAAAUUCAACAUCUGUCUCGCAAGAAGGAUUGUUUAUUGCCAAUCAUUCUCGCUCGAGUUUACCUCAAGUCCAACAUCGGUUGCAAAUCGUGCAGACGGAAGGAAGGGUGUUUUGACCUAGCGAGGACUCCGCGUUAAACACUAUUAUUUUGUCAAGAGGAGCAUAAAUCGAGUACUCUUAUCCAUCUGUCGCAAAACUCAAGCCGCUAAACAGGGUUGGGGGUGGGGGGGUGAUAAGGUCAAAACCAGAAUGUCAGACAUGUUUACCCACUGGAGAGGCGCAGAUUGGUUGUUAUGUUAUGUAUUUAUUUGGAGAGCGACAGGCGUUUGCGCGCCUGCACUCGGCCAAAUACGCUCGAGGGAAUCGUUCAGGCGCGAGACCCACAACGCGGUCAAAUUCAAGAAGCAAGCGAGGCUUGUGCGCGCACUUAGGCCGCAAUCGUAUCUGAACGUUGAAGACGAAAGCAGCCAGAGCACGGCCGAUGCGCGCGACGUAUUAAUGAGCUUUAACAAAGAAAUCAGUUGGGUGGACAUGGAUUGAAUUAAAGUUAUAUUUGAACACGGGUUCAAAAGGAGUCGCUCGCUCGACAAGCGCAGCCGCCUCCGCUUCUCCACCGUCUCAUUUCACGAGCGGCCACUUUGGGCAAUCCGAGUGACUCUUCAACAAGUGGGUGACGUUCAGGUGGAAAGAACGCUUCGGUAAAAGCCAGCUUGUCCUUAAAAGCAGGUCCUUAAAAAAAAAAAAAAAUUUGGCCACAAUUGUCCGAGGAGGGAGACCUUUGACAUACAGAUCAUUUGAAGAUUUCUGUUCAAGCUCGACAGGACCGAGUGCGUUUAUCUUACCCCCCCCCCCCCCCCCCCCACCAGCAUAAAAUUGACAAUCAUCCGGAAAAGCAGAACUGCUCUACGCUGAAUAAGUCCAAAACAACCUGUUCUCAAGAUCACUCCUUGUCCAUCAACAACUUUUCACUUCAAAUAUCAAGACAGAAGAAAGCAAUAUAAAUACCCAAAUGGGGGGGGGGGGGGGGGGGGGCUCACGAGAUCGGCUUGUUAAAACGGUCGGGCGAUUGAAAACUAGAACAACUUUUGCCGCAGCCGUGACCAAGGCGUAAUCGGCUCUGUUUUGAUGAGCACAUUUAACGACUAGGACGACAAUCGCGGGCAGACAUUGCGCUCGAUUGCAUUACAACGCAAAACACGAACGGAACGUCGAGUGGCCUGACCUGUGAGCGGAUGCCCGGCCAAUUAGUGGCGACCACUCAACAGCGUGCCUGUAUAUAACUGCUCACUGAAAAACAAAGAAAAUUCGAGACAACUUUAGUACGACUAGUCACUCUUUGCCGUACUCACCGAUACGGGUACUACUUUUGAGAUAUGAAAUUUCAUUUCCCCAGAUGAUGGAAAUUUGUGAACAAAGCCUUUCAUUUCUGACACAGAUUUCACAGUAGGCUUGAAUUGCCCCCCACCGCCCCAUUGCGUAAAGUACCAGUGUCUGGUAUCAAUACUCGUAAGGAAAAUCAUGUUGCUCCUGCUGGCUUUACUUCUUACUAUUUUAUCUAUUCGACUACAUCACUGAAGACAUUUUUGAAAAUCACGAUACUGGAAAAUAGCAGACUGAAAAUGUCAUUUAGCUGCUUCCGCAAUUUCAUUCAUGAGGUUGACUUCCGGUUUUUACACCUCAAAUUCAAAGGUGCCCGAUUCCUAUGUAGUCCCACUAACUCGAACUGCAAGCACAGCGUCCUUUAAGAUCCACUCGGAAGGCUGCUGAAGGAGAGCGAAGGCGCGGUAAGAGAUAUCGGGACAAGGGGCUUGAAUGACGCCGCUGUCUCGUGGCGCGCUGAUAACCUUUCGGCUUAUUAGUCCAAUUAGAGUACACAGCUGGAGGAGAAAAUUAAUCCUCCGCCGGGCCAUUUUGUUUGCUUAUUUACAGACGCGCAUGAUUUGGAAUGAGGGUAAACAGAGCCCUGAUGAUGGAGCUUUGUCUCUGCUUAAAUGGCUGCCAUUGUUUGAAGCAGACUUGCGCCGCCGCCAUUUUACCGCCGCGCCUGCUUUGCGGGUCUCAUAAACGAUAUCCCAAAUGCGUAUUAAGACAAUUGGGAGUGCGUUUAUAUGAUCACGUAAACGAUCGUUGAUAGUACAUUUGUGUGCUGUCAAGGGCUUGCGCACUACGUUGCCACAAGAUGGCGCCAAAAGCCGCGGCUAAUCGGGAAAACAGCAGAGCUUUAGCAUAAAUUCUGUGAUGGAUAAAAUAAUAAAUUAGCAUUUUCUGUAAUCUCUUGAAUAGAGGGAUGGAAUUUAAAAAAAAUGUUUUUUAAUCCGGUUCACUGAUUGGUGGCUAAAAUAAUGGACAGACUAAUUACAAUCAUCGUCUGGCCCUUCCGCAGUCAUUCGUGACAAAAAGCUGACAAGAGAAUGUCGUCAAGCUACCAGGAAGGGCAACAAAACAGGAUGUGGAACCCCACCAAAAUAAAACGGGUAAACUGACAAACUCACUGGAGUCCUUUCAAAUUUGAAUUUGAAACAUAUCUCUGCCAGAAUAAGUCUUACAAAAAUCCAAAGAAAGAAGCAAAAAAAAAAAAAAAAAGUAAAAGACAGUUUAAACGUAUUUUACGGGCAUGCAUUGACAGCUAGCUGAUGCAGACAUCACCAUUGGACUUAAACUUUUUACAAUUGGGUCAAACUCCAAGCCACUUUCGCGACAGUCAAACGUCAAGGGAACGCGAAGAAUGCCUUUUGAAGGAAUUUUGUUGCUCGAGUAACAGAUGAAUUUUUAUUUUAUUUUAUUUAUGUAUUUAUUGGUCUUUUGCGAUGAAGCGGCCGUCGCAUUGGAAAGCGAGGAAACGGGCACGUCAGCCAAGAGUCUAAAGAGGCACUUUACUUCAGCCGUAAUGUGGUUUUCCUCUCCACUAUUGUAAUUUCCCUCCCGGGGGGGGACAAGGUUGUUUCGCACGAGCUGGUUCUCUAAUAACCAAGCCAAGCCUCCUAGUCAAAAACCCAUUAAGGUCAAGUCAUGCAUAGUUGAUUGAACAUCUUGUCUGUUGGUCUGCUAAGGAGACUCUAAGAAUAUCACAUUAAUCAGAGGCAAAAAAAAUGGAGCUGCAGAUGUUCUUGGUGGGAUAUUUUUGGGGGGGAUGGGGGAUUGGGGGGUGGUCUCAUUAAUACACAUGAGAUUUGUUCAUUAAGAGCUUGGGUGUAAAAAUGAACACAUUUCAAUUCUUGAUUGUGUACAAUUCAAGUGAAAAAGGAAGAAACCUGGUGCGAUGAGUGGGUUGAGGGUUUAAAUCUGGUUUUCAUGUGUUUUGUAAAAUAGUGUUAAGCGUCACGUUGAGUGUAAAAUGGGUGUUUUUUGUCGUUUCCCGUAACAGUAGGAGUAGCGUGUGCGUCUGAAAUAUCUGCCAUCAUUUUCUACGUACGAGGAGUCAUCGGUUUGCCGACCACUUUGUUCGUUUUCACGUUUGACGAGCGGAAUUUGGGAGUACGCUGGUUUACUAGCGUUAUAAUUUGAAAGUAUAGCAAGGCAUUGAAAAACGGUGAAAACCGUGGGGGGGCGAGGGGGGCCGCAGGGGUUGAAUAUCAUCCAGAAAACUCCGGCGCACUCGGAUAUGGUGGCUCUUUUUGACCGCGUGUCGAUGUGAGCGUGUGGCGGUGGCUCACCUAGCCAAUGACGCAACCAAGCGUGAAAUCAUCUCUGCUCAGCUCUGAAGGGCCCGACAUAGAUUUUUAAUGAGAAGACCAUAUCCUCCCCCCACCCCCACCCCGCCCCGCCCC